rnacentral:misc_RNA from 1 species
GAUGAAGAACGCAGCGAAAUGCGAUACGUAAUGUGAAAUGCAGAAUUCAGUGAAUCAUCGAGUCUUUGAACGCACAUUGCGCCCCCUGGUAUUCCGGGGGGCAUGCCUGUCCGAGCGUCAUUGCUGCCCUCAAGCACGGCUUGUGUGUUGGGCCUCCGUCCUCCUCCCGGGGGACGGGCCCGAAAGGCAGCGGCGGCACCGCGUCCGGUCCUCGAGCGUAUGGGGCUUCGUCACCCGCUCUUGUAGGCCCGGCCGGCGCUUGCCGACACAUCAAUCUUUUUUCCAGGUUGACCUCGGAUCAGGUAGGGAUACCCGCUGAACUUAAGCAUAUCAAUAAGCGGAGGA